rnacentral:rRNA from 1 species
GAUGAACGCUGGCGGCGUGCCUAAUACAUGCAAGUCGAGCGAACAGACGAGGAGCUUGCUCCUCUGACGUUAGCGGCGGACGGGUGAGUAACACGUGGAUAACCUACCUAUAAGACUGGGAUAACUUCGGGAAACCGGAGCUAAUACCGGAUAAUAUAUUGAACCGCAUGGUUCAAUAGUGAAAGACGGUUUUGCUGUCACUUAUAGAUGGAUCCGCGCCGCAUUAGCUAGUUGGUAAGGUAACGGCUUACCAAGGCGACGAUGCGUAGCCGACCUGAGAGGGGGGGCGGCCACGCUGGAACUGAGAGACGGUGCAGACUCCUAGGGGAGGCAGCAGUGGGGAAUGUUCCGCAAGGGGCGAAAGCCUGACGGAGCAACGCCGCGUGAGUGAUGAAGGUCUUCGGAUCGUAAAACUCUGUUAUUAGGGAAGAACAAAUGUGUAAGUAACUAUGCACGUCUUGACGGUACCUAAUCAGAAAGCCACGGCUAACUACGUG